GUGCUAAGUGUUGGAGGGUUUCCGCCCUUCAGUGCUGCAGCAAACGCAUUAAGCACUCCGCCUGGGGAGUACGACCGCAAGGUUGAAACUCAAAGGAAUUGACGGGGGCCCGCACAAGCGGUGGAGCAUGUGGUUUAAUUCGAAGCAACGCGAAGAACCUUACCAGGUCUUGACAUCCUUUGAACACUCUAGAGAUAGAGCUUUCCCUUCGGGGACAAAGUGACAGGUGGUGCAUGGUUGUCGUCAGCUCGUGUCGUGAGAUGUUGGGUUAAGUCCCGCAACGAGCGCAACCCUUAUUGUUAGUUGCCAUCAUUCAGUUGGGCACUCUAGCGAGACUGCCGGUGACAAACCGGAGGAAGGUGGGGAUGACGUCAAAUCAUCAUGCCCCUUAUGACCUGGGCUACACACGUGCUACAAUGGGAAGUACAACGAGUCGCUAGACCGCGAGGUCAUGCAAAUCUCUUAAAGCUUCUCUCAGUUCGGAUUGCAGGCUGCAACUCGCCUGCAUGAAGCCGGAAUCGCUAGUAAUCGCGGAUCAGCACGCCGCGGUGAAUACGUUCCCGGGCCUUGUACACACCGCCCGUCACACCACGAAAGUUUGUAACACCCGAAGUCGGUGAGGUAACCUUUUUGGAGCCAGCCGCCUAAGGUGGGAUAGAUGAUUGGGGUGAAGUCGUAACAAGGUAGCCGUAUUCGGAAGGUGC
rnacentral:rRNA from 1 species